AGCUGACACACCUCUUUUAGAAUUUUUCUAGCAGGUUUUCUGACUUUGGUCACAAAACCUAA
rnacentral:snRNA from 1 species